rnacentral:lncRNA from 1 species
GAUGUGGGAACAUGGGUACAUGUAUCAGAAAAAGAAAAUCAAACGUCCAUUUUUCCUUCUCCUAGGGUUUAAACUCUGAUAAAACCCUUGUUUCUUCUUUUUCUUUCUUUUUUCGCUCUUCAUCUUUUCCCUCUGCUUCAGCAAACAAAAACAAACAAAAAUCCUUUCUUCUUCAAACCUUCAAAUUCUUCCAUGGCCAGCUCAAGCAAAAACAAAA